GACCUCGGCUCCCGUGUUGCCAGGAUCCGACCUCUCCUAGUUGAAAACAGCCUCGUGUUCCCCUGGGCCGAGGGGCAGCUCCAGAGGACUGGCUGAGUGCUCCGCGGCACUGGGUGAGUCCUCAGAAUGCCGUCUUACUGCAGACACACACCCGGGGGGCGGGCUGGCAUCCCCCAAACUGCUCCGUCCCGAGUGCACAUGCCAGGCUCCCUGAGGCCCUUGGAACCCUGAGUCUUGGGGUGCAGGGGUCGGGUGCUUUACAUCUGAGGGUUGGAGUGGCAGUGAUGUGAUUUGGGGGCAUAAUUAUACCCUGGAAACGGAAAAAAAAAAAA
rnacentral:sRNA from 1 species